CAGGCUUCUGGACUUUUUGAAUUCUGAAACCAAAAGAAGAAUAAGUCGAAGAAUUCUUACUUUGGGACUUGGAGAACAAGGAACAAGUAUAAAAUAUCCCUGUCUCACGACCUUGUCAAGUUCUCGGGGAGAUAAACAUAUGAGGGACUGCGGGACAUCCUCGCAAGAGGCGAAAGGCUCCUGACUCCUGAGGAGGACUCUGCUGCCCGCUGGCCCCGUUAGACGGACGGCUCCCCUGGCAUCCUAUUCUUGUUUGGACGUUUUCAAAGACCACAUAUGGUCUCCAGGACUGGAGGAGUCUGAAUCGCAGUUCUUCCCAGGUGGCCCUGGAUGUGUGUGGGAAGAGGUCGGGCCGAGAAUGACUGGAAGAAAAUUGACCCCAUGGUUCCAGCUUUUUCCAGGAGCCCAUUUCAGCAGACUCUGAUUUGGGGAACCCAGACGUUGUGCUUGUUAACAGGACAACUUUGAGUCCUUGCUAUCUUCAUCUUCACCAUCGAUUUG